GUCAGUGUGGUGUAAUGGUCUGAGUGCUGGACUAUGACUCUGGAGACCAGGGUUCAAUUCCCCACUGGACC